GACUAUGGGUAUAAACGCGCAUGUAAUAAGCGGUUCGGACCCGGGGGCGGUACCCGGCGACUCCACCAAUAUUCCGUCAUUUGCGGAUCAUGGGGUCGAAACAGGAUCGACGAACGUCUAAAGAUGUAGCUUUAUCUCGGCUGACUGCCACCGUUAUCGGCGUAAAAUGUACAAUUGCAAAUGACAAUCGUGCUCCAAUGGCGAUGGCCGCGUAAGCGACCG
rnacentral:tmRNA from 1 species